UUUUUUUUUAAAAAUAAAUCAAAGAGAUUAAUUAGUGUACAAGAGAGAGGGAAGUAUAAAUUAUUCUUGUUUGGAUCAUCCGCCCUUGAAGAAUCUCAAUCUCUUGGCAAUGGGUGAAGAAAAAUGGUGUGUGGUGACCGGCGGAAGAGGCUUUGCUGCUCGACAUUUAGUCGAAAUGCUCAUCCGCUACGAAAUUUAUCAUGUACGCAUUGGUGAUUUGGGGCCAACCAUUAAACUUGAGCCUCAUGAGGAAAAGGGUAUUCUUGGAGAAGCCCUCAAAUCUGGUCGUGCUGUAUAUGUAUCCAUGGAUCUUCUUAACAAGUCCCAAGUGUUCAAAGCUUGUGAAGGAGCUGAGGUUGUUUUCCACAUGGCUGCUCCAGAUUCAUCGAUCAACAACCACAAGCUCCACUAUUCAGUUAAUGUGCAAGGAACCCAG
rnacentral:misc_RNA from 1 species